rnacentral:rRNA from 1 species
UACGUAGGGGGCAAGCGUUGUCCGGAAUCAUUGGGCGUAAAGAGCGUGUAGGCGGCCCGGUAAGUCCGCUGUGAAAGUCCAGGGCUCAACCCUGGGAUGCCGGUGGAUACUGUCGGGCUAGAGUGCGGAAGAGGCGAGUGGAAUUCCUGGUGUAGCGGUGAAAUGCGCAGAUAUCAGGAGGAACACCAAUUGCGAAGGCAGCUCGCUGGGACGUUACUGACGCUGAGACGCGAAAGCGUGGGGAGCAAACAGG